rnacentral:rRNA from 1 species
UGGGGAAUAUUGCGCAAUGGGGGAAACCCUGACGCAGCGACGCCGCGUGCGGGAUGAAGGCCUUCGGGUUGUAAACCGCUUUUGAUUGGGAGCAAGCUUUCGGGUGAGGGUACCUUUCGAAUAAGCGCCGGCUAACUACGUGCCAGCAGCCGCGGUAAUACGUAGGGCGCAAGCGUUAUCCGGAAUUAUUGGGCGUAAAGGGAGCGUAGGCCGUUUGGUAAGCGUGUUGUGAAAUGUAGGAGCUCAACUUCUAGAUUGCAGCGCGAACUGUCAGACUUGAGUGCGCACAACGUAGGCGGAAUUCAUGGUGUAGCGGUGAAAUGCUUAGAUAUCAUGAAGAACUCCGAUUGCGAAGGCAGCUUACGGGAGCGCAACUGACGCUGAAGCUCGAAGGUGCGGGUAUCGAACAGG